rnacentral:rRNA from 1 species
CAUUACCGAGUUUACAACUCCCAAACCCCUGUGAACAUACCUUAAUGUUGCCUCGGCGGAUCAGCCCGCGCCCCGUAAAACGGGACGGCCCGCCAGAGGACCCAAACUCUAAUGUUUCUUAUUGUAACUUCUGAGUAAAACAAACAAAUAAAUCAAAACUUUCAACAACGGAUCUCUUGGUUCUGGCAUCGAUGAAGAACGCAGCAAAAUGCGAUAAGUAAUGUGAAUUGCAGAAUUCAGUGAAUCAUCGAAUCUUUGAACGCACAUUGCGCCCGCUGGUAUUCCGGCGGGCAUGCCUGUUCGAGCGUCAUUUCAACCCUCAAGCCCCCGGGUUUGGUGUUGGGGAUCGGCUCUGCCCUUCUGGGCGGUGCCGCCCCCGAAAUACAUUGGCGGUCUCGCUGCAGCCUCCAUUGCGUAGUAGCUAACACCUCGCAACUGGAACGCGGCGCGGCCAUGCCGUAAAACCCCAACUUCUGAANNNNNACCUCGGAUCAGGUAGGAAUACCCGCUGAACUUAAGCAUAUCAA